rnacentral:rRNA from 1 species
UACGAAGGGGGCUAGCGUUACUCGGAUUGACUGGGCGUAAAGGGCGCGUAGGCGGUUUGUACAGUCAGAUGUGAAAUUCCUGGGCUCAACCUGGGGGGCUGCAUUUUGAUACGUAUGGACUGGAGUGAGGAAGAGGGUCGUGGAAUUCCCAGUGUAGAGGUGAAAUUCGUAGAUAUUGGGAAGAACACCGGUGGCGAAGGCGGCGACCUGGUCCUUUACUGACGCUGAGGCGCGAAAGCGUGGGGAGCAAACAGG